UACGUAGGGACCGAGCGUUGUCCGGAAUCAUUGGGCGUAAAGAGCGUGUAGGCGGCCUUUUAAGUCCUGCGUGAAAUCCUGCGGCUCAACCGCAGACGGUCGUGGGAAACUGGAAGGCUAGAGUGCGGGAGAGGAGAGUGGAAUUCCCGGUGUAGCGGUGAAAUGCGCAGAUAUCGGGAAGAACACCGGUGGCGAAGGCGGCGACCUGGUCCUUGUACUGACGCUGAGGCGCGAAAGCGUGGGGAGCAAACAGG
rnacentral:rRNA from 1 species